rnacentral:tRNA from 1 species
GAGGGUAUAGCUCAAGCAGUGGAGUGCAUGUUUAGCAUGCACGAGGUCCUGGGUUCAAUCCCCAGUACCUCCU